rnacentral:rRNA from 1 species
AUAUCAAUAAGCGGAGGAAAAGAAACUAACAGGGAUUGCCUCAGUAACGGCGAGUGAAGCGGCAACAGCUCAAAUUUUAAAGCUGGCGUCUUCGGCGCACGCGUUGUAAUUUGGAGAGGCAUCUUCGGUUCGGGCGCCAGCCUAUGUUCCUUGGAACAGGACGUCACAGAGGGUGAGAAUCCCGUGCCUGGCUGGCUGUCCCGACCCAUGUGAAGCGCCUUCGACGAGUCGAGUUGUUUGGGAAUGCAGCUCAAAAUGGGUGGUAAAUUUCAUCUAAAGCUAAAUAUUGGCGGGAGACCGAUAGCGCACAAGUAGAGUGAUCGAAAGAUGAAAAGCACUUUGAAAAUAGAGUUAAAAAGUAC